rnacentral:lncRNA from 1 species
UGUAUUAUAGCACUUGCAAUGUGCUAUUUAAUGCAUACAUUAUGUUAUCUUUGUGGUGUUUGUUUGGUUUUUUGUUUUGUUUUGUUUUCAUUUUGUUCCCCAUUUCUAAGUACUUUUUAACAUCCUGUUAGCAUAUAGUACCACAGAGUUUGCUCAGAGGCUGCAAGUGGACCUGUAAGUGAAUUGCUGCUGGUUGUUAUCCACCUUCAUCAAAGUUAACUGUAGGUUGCCUUGUUUAGAAAGUAUUACUUUACCCAUGUUUUGUUUCCCCCGUUUCCCCUUCCCCCCCCCCACACACACACAUACAAAAAAAUAUAUAUACAUAUAACCAGACUUGAAAAAUACACAUUUUUUCCACAGCUCUUAAAAGCUAGAACUACUGUCAAAAGGGACUCAGGAACUGCUUUAGGCUGAAAUUCAGCCUGUGAAAAGGAGUAGUGCAAGACCUCCACAUCAACGAUGAGGAGUUUAGUUACUCCAAUCACUUUUGAUUUCAAGAAAUACCUUUACGCAGUCUAUAGUUGGUUAUUUCAGUGUUUCCAUUGGCUUUGCUAAUAUUCAGCAUUCUAGGAAUAAUGUCUUAGUCUUCCCUUAAAAAUAUCAUAAACAGCCUUUCCCAGAAGAUUCAUAUUAUCAAAUGACUACAGUUUAGUCUUAAGCCUAUAAAAACAUCUAGAAACAUAAGCGCUAAAACGUACAGAGCAACAAACAGUACCCUUAGCAGCUUUUCCUUGAGGAGUACGAUAACUCAGAACAAUACCAUUAAAUUUCCCUUCACUCUUAGGACCACAACGGCUACAUGUAUAGUGCUGAUCUCAAACUCACCCAGUCGGAAAGCUUUACAAUUUAGGAAAAAAAAUAAAUAACAUCACAGAAGUGGAGAUUAGGAUAGAAGAAAAGGUUCAGAAAACAAUAUCUCUACCCAAGGAGUGGAUCACAUUGCACUGAUAGAAAUUUAAUGGUUCUUCAGGAAGCAUAAUGAACAACCUUAUCUCAGGAGACCUCUGUUCUCUACACACAUCAAGAGUGGUGACAGCUCAUCCUUCCCAGAAACCAAUACCAGGAAGAAAGUGCGCUGCCUGAGAACGUUAAACCUACAGCAAUGUUAGAUGCCUGCUGUCAUCAGGGACAAGUAUUACC